rnacentral:rRNA from 1 species
AUUUUUUUGCAGGGGAAAGCUGGUGUUGAGAAAACAAGGUCUUGCCGAUGCGAAUGUCCUGCUCUUAUAAGGCUUCUGCGAGCAGAAGACAAUGGUUGGUAUAUUGCGGAGCAUAGAGAUACGCACAACUAGUCUCUUUCCCCUAACUUUGGUGAGAUAACCCACUGGCCAUCACACAAGCACAUAGAUGUUUACACCAGGGAUCUUGUGAAGCAGUUCAGGCAGAAAAAUGUCAACCUCCCUAAGGAGUACAGUAUCAUAGGAGGCUUCUCUGGGUCGAGGGAAAACGUUCCAUUCACAAAGAGGUCUUUGUGUAAUCUGUGUGGCAAGAUAAAUAGUGACCAAGUGGAUGAUGAUGUAAAGAAGACGAUGGACGUGUUUGUGGAGAUUGAGAAAGAUCCACACUUCACAUACAGGGUCCAAGCGUACAGUGAUGGUAGCAUCAAGAAUCUGAUGUGGCCAAGUGGGCGCAGCAGGCUGCAGUACUCCUUCUUUGGGGAUGUCAUAACAUUCGACAGAUCAUGA